GCGUUUGUGAUGUAAUUGGUAACAUGACAAUCUUCCAAAUUGUAUUUUCGAGUUCAAAUCUCGACAGACGCU
rnacentral:tRNA from 1 species